UACGGAGGGUGCAAGCGUUAUCCGGAUUCACUGGGUUUAAAGGGUGCGUAGGUGGGCAGGUAAGUCAGUGGUGAAAUCUCCGGGCUUAACCCGGAAACUGCCAUUGAUACUAUCUGUCUUGAAUACCGUGGAGGUGAGCGGAAUAUGGUCAUGUAGCGGUGAAAUGCUUAGAUAUGACAUAGAACACCAAUUGCGAAGGCAGCUCACUACACGAAUAUUGACACUGAGGCACUGAAAGCGUGGGGAUCAAACAGGA
rnacentral:rRNA from 1 species